rnacentral:rRNA from 1 species
GACGAACGCUGGCGGCGUGCUUAACACAUGCAAGUCGAACGGUGAGGCCCUGCUUUUGUUGUGUGCUCGAGUGGCGAACGGGUGAGUAACACGUGAGUAACCUGCCCGUUACUUUGGGAUAACUUCAGGAAACUGGGGCUAAUACCGGAUAGGAUCUCCUGCUGCAUGGUGGGCGGUGGAAAGUUGCGGCGGUUGAGGUUGGACGCGCGGCUGAGCUGCUUUUGGGUGGGGGAGUGGCUUAGCACGGCUUCGGCGGGUAGCCGGCCUGGGAGGGUGACAGGGCACAUUGGGCUUGAGGUGCGGCCAAGACGCCUUCGGGAGGAAGGGGUGGGAAACAGUGCGCGAUGGGCGGAAGCCGGAUGCAGCAACGCCGCGUGCGAGAUGACGGCCUUCGGGUUGUAACCCGCUUUCGCCUGUGAAGAAGCGUGAGUGACGGUAAUGGGUCAAGAAGCACCGGCUAACUACGUG